GACGAACGCUGGCGGGCGUGCUUAACACACGCAAGUCGAGCGGUAAGGCCCUUUCGGGGGUACACGAGCGGCGAACGGGUGAGUAACACGUGGGUGACCUGCCCUCAGCUCUGGGAUAAGCCUGGGAAACUGGGUCUAAUACUGGAUAUGACUCCACGGUGCAUGUCGUGGGGUGGAAAGCCUUGUGCGGCUGAGGAUGGGCCCGCGGCCUAUCAGCUUGUUGGUGGGGUGAUGGCCUACCAAGGCGACGACGGGUAGCCGGCCUGAGAGGGCGACCGGCCACACUGGGACUGAGACACGGCCCAGACUCCUACGGGAGGCAGCAGUGGGGAAUCUUGCGCAAUGGGGCGAAAGCCUGACGCAGCGACGCCGCGUGAGGGAUGACGGCCUGGUUGU
rnacentral:rRNA from 1 species